rnacentral:rRNA from 1 species
GAUGAACGCUGGCGGCGUGCCUAAUACAUGCAAGUCGAGCGAACAGACGAGGAGCUUGCUCCUUCGACGUUAGCGGCGGACGGGUGAGUAACACGUAGGUAACCUACCUAUAAGACUGGGAUAACUUCGGGAAACCGGAGCUAAUACCGGAUAAUAUUUCGAACCGCAUGGUUCGAUAGUGAAAGAUGGCUUUGCUAUCACUUAUAGAUGGACCUGCGCCGUAUUAGCUAGUUGGUAAGGUAACGGCUUACCAAGGCAACGAUACGUAGCCGACCUGAGAGGGUGAUCGGCCACACUGGAAGUGAGACACGGUCCAGACUCCUACGGGAGGCAGCAGUAGGGAAUCUUCCGCAAUGGGCGAAAGCCUGACGGAGCAACGCCGCGUGAGUGAUGAAGGUCUUCGGAUCGUAAAACUCUGUUAUUAGGGAAGAACAAACGUGUAAGUAACUGUGCACGUCUUGACGGUACCUAAUCAGAAAGCCACGGCUAACUACGUG